rnacentral:tRNA from 1 species
GGCACAGUUUGGUAGCGCGUUUGUUUUGGGUACAAAAUGUCGCGGGUUCAAAUCCUGUCA